rnacentral:rRNA from 1 species
AGUGAACGCUGGCGGGAGGCCUAACACAUGCAAGUCGAACGGCAGCGCAGUAAGAGCUUGCUCUGACGGGUGGCGAGUGGCGGACGGGUGAGGAAUACAUCGGAAUCUACUUUUUCGUAGGGGAUAACGUAGGGAAACUUACGCUAAUACCGCAUAGGACCUACGGGUGAAAGCAGGGGAUCUUCGGACCUUGCGCGAUUGAAUGAGCCGAUGUCGGAUUAGCUAGUUGGCGGGGUAAAGGCCCACCAAGGCGACGAUCCGUAGCUGGUCUGAGAGGAUGAUCAGCCACACUGGAACUGAGACACGGUCCAGACUCCUACGGGAGGCAGCAGUGGGGAAUAUUGGACAAUGGGCGCAAGCCUGAUCCAGCCAUCCCGCGUGGGUGAAGAAGGCCUUCGGGUUGUAAAGCCCUUUUGUUGGGAAAGAAAAGCAGCAGGUUAAUACCCCGCUGUUCUGACGGUACCCAAAGAAUAAGCACCGGCUAACUUCGUG